UACGUAGGGGGCAAGCGUUGUCCGGAAUCAUUGGGCGUAAAGAGCGUGUAGGCGGCUCGAUAAGUCUGCUGUGAAAGUCCAGGGCUCAACCCUGGAAGGCCGGUGGAAACUGUCGGGCUAGAGUCCGGAAGAGGCGAGUGGAAUUCCCAGUGUAGAGGUGAAAUUCGUAGAUAUUGGGAAGAACACCGGUGGCGAAGGCGGCUCACUGGCUCGUUUCUGACGCUCAGGCGCGACAGCGUGGGGAUCAAACAGG
rnacentral:rRNA from 1 species